rnacentral:piRNA from 1 species
UAUGAUGAAAUUUACAUGCUUUGAAAUGU